rnacentral:lncRNA from 1 species
GAGAGAGAAGGGAGGGGGGAAGGGGAAUCCGGCCAGGGGGUCGGUCACCGGACGGCCACCGGAGGCUCGUCGGCGCCGGCGCCGGCCACCGAAAAGGUAAAAAUUUAUAUACUAUUUUUAUUUUUUAUUUUUUUGUAUUUUCUUUUAUGUUUUAAUAUAUGUAUAGGUUUAAAAAAACUUACAAUCGAAUUUAAAAUGGAAAGAAAAAAAGAAAUCACCUUAGGGUUUUUUAAGCUUUUAAUCCUUUGAUCUUGGUGUUUUUGUAUGCCUGAAUGUUAGAUCUGUAUUUAAACGCUGAUUGAAUCACUAUAUUGAAUCUGAAAUUGAAUGUUUUACUUUCUUGUUUUUGUGUUUAUUUCUUACUGCCAAAAUGAAAGGGAAAAAAAGAAGAAGAAGAAGCCCCCUCUAUUACAUUCGGAUCUGGCCUUUAUAGCCAUUUCUAUACAACAUUUUUUUAAAUUUCUUGCCAUUGCUCCUUGUCGUCUACUCUGUCUUGGUGUUCGUUUCAUUUUGCAGGGCAUGGAGGAGUUGGUGGAAGUGUGUGAUGCCUGGGAAGUGCCUGGUCUCGGGCAAAGGAGGAAGUGGUUUGGCAACUCGCGUGGGGGCUGAGUGGUUGCGCACAUGGGGAGGGGUUUGCAGCUGAAAAAUGUUUUAGUUUUUUUUUGGGGGGCUAGUAUUUUGAAUUGGGCUAGGUUGUUGGGUUAAUUUGUAAUGGUUUAUUUAUUUAUUGGGUUUUGGGCUGUUGAGGUUAUUGGGCUGAAGGGUUGAGGUUUAAGAGUGGACAAAAUUGGGCUAUAACAAUAUGUAUUGUUAGAAAUUGGUGUGGCUAACGGAAUAACUAAAAAAUGACACGUGACAUGCCACAUGUACCUUUAUGUUGAUGUAUAUGGAC